UCUUUGCGACAAGAAUUGUGA
ensembl:piRNA 21ur-3894 ncRNA